CGCGCGUUCGGCUAUUGGCCAGGCCGCUUGGCUUUCACCCAGGAAAGAGGGGUUCGAUUCCCCUACGCGCGACCA
rnacentral:tRNA from 1 species